rnacentral:rRNA from 1 species
AUGAAACUCUUGGAUCUUUAUAUGUCCAAUCGUUUCGUUACACCUUCUUCUUCUUCUUCGUCCCAUACAGAAUUGGAAUUGUAUUUGGAAGAAGCUCCUCUGCCUAGCACACAAGACCUGGACAUCAUUGAUUGGUGGAAGGUUGGGGGCGUCAAGUAUCCUACCUUACAAAAACUUGCUCGUGAUAUAUUGCCUAUUCCUAUAACAUCCGUUGCUUCAGAGUGUGCAUUCAAUACUAGUGGUAGAGUUCUUAGUGCAUACCGUAGUAGACUUACUCCUAAUGUGGCUGAAGCUCUCAUGUGCAUGCAAGCUUGGUCUCGUGCUGAUCUAUUAGGUGACUGGAAUUCCACUCUCUUUGCAACAUUUCAAAGUGUUCUUGAGGACAAUGAAGAAGAGAUGGAUGAAUCUACUUCAAUUAUCACUCAAGAAUGA